CGCUUUCCAGUGAUGGUGAAAAAUAAAUGUCUGAACAAAUGAACUCAACCGUGAUAUCAGUGUUUUCUCUGAGGAAAGCG